GACGAACGCUGGCGGCGUGCCUAAUACAUGCAAGUCGAACGAGUGGCGGCCGAGUGAGUAACACGUGGGAACCUACCCCUCAGAGUGGGAUAACACUUGGAAACAGAUGCUAAUACCGCAUAUGAUGGAUGGACCCGCGUUGCAUUAGCUAGUAGGUGGGGUAAAGGCUCACCUAGGCGACGAUCCCUAGCUGGUCUGAGAGGAUGAUCAGCCACACUGGGACUGAGACACGGCCCAGACUCCUACGGGAGGCAGCAGUGGGGAAUAUUGCACAAUGGGCGCAAGCCUGAUGCAGCCAUGCCGCGUGUAUGAAGAAGGCCUUAGGGUUGUAAAGUACUUUCAGCUGGGAGGCGUUACCAGCAGAAGAAGCACCGGCUAACUCCGUGCCAGCAGCCGCGGUAAUUC
rnacentral:rRNA from 1 species